rnacentral:rRNA from 1 species
GAUGAACGCUGGCGGCGUGCCUAAUACAUGCAAGUCGAGCGAACGGACGAGAAGCUUGCUUCUCUGAUGUUAGCGGCGGACGGGUGAGUAACACGUGGAUAACCUACUUAUAAGACUGGGAUAACUUCGGGAAACCGGAGCUAAUACCGGAUAAUAUUUUGAACCGCAUGGAUCAAAAGUGAAAGACGGUCUUGCUGUCACUUAUAGAUGGUUCCGCGCUGCAUUAGCUAGUUGGUAAGGUAACGGCUUACCAAGGCAACGAUGCAUAGCCGACCUGAGAGGGUGAUCAGCCACACUGGAACUGAGACACGGUCCAGACUCCUACGGGAGGCAGCAGUAGGGAAUCUUGCGCAAUGGGCGAAAGCCUGACGGAGCAACGCCGCGUGAGUGAUGAAGGUCUUCGGAUCGUAAAGCUCUGUUAUUAGGAAAGAACAUAUGUGUAUGUAACUGUGCACGUCUUGACGGUACCUAAUCAGAAAGCAACGGCUAACUACGUG